rnacentral:lncRNA from 1 species
CAGUUCUCAGUAAAACUGAAGUUUCUGCCAAGGAAAAUGUCCCGUGAACCACCAAUGCCUAUGGACGGUUUUCACACUGGAGCUUCCUAACCAGCUGACCUCUUAAGAGAGGGCUGUUACAACAGGUGACACAGGAAACUCAGGUGAGGGUGUGGAGAGACAGGAACUCAGGUGAGAGGUGGAGAGACAGGAACUCAGGUGAGAGAUGAUGGAGAGACAGGAAUUCAGGUGAGAGUUGGAGAGACAGGAACUCAGGUGAGAGUUGGAGAGACAGGAACUCAGGCGAGAGGUGGAGAGACAGGAACUCAGGUGAGAGAUGGUGGAAAGACAGGAACUCAGGCGAGAGGUGGAGAGACAGGAACUCAGGUGAGAGUUGGAGAGACAGGAACUCAGGCGAGAGGUGGAGAGACAGGAACUCAGGUGAGAGAUGGUGGAAAGACAGGAACUCAGGCGAGAGGUGGAGAGACAGGAACUCAGGCGAGAGGUGGAGAGACAGGAACUCAGGUGAGAGAUGAUGGAGAGACAGGAAUUCAGGAUUUUAUACGCUGGUCCACCUCCGGCGUUCUGAGCCCCUUUCCCGUGACUCUUCCCUGAGGGUGGGCUGCCCGCCUGCGCAGAACCCUCCUCACGCUUGGGAAGUGAGCGUGCGCAGUGGGCUAGAAGUGGGACGCAUGCCCAUCCGAGGCCUUCUUCCCUCUUCCGUUUCAGAUGAAGAACAAAACCAGAGAAAGGCCCCAGAGCCACCCUGGAGUGUGGGGUGGAAAACACCAAGAGGCCUGUUUUUCCAGACCUUCUUUGAAGAGCUUCAUCUUCAGCCUCUCUCUCUGUUUUCCCACCUGUGAACCUGAGGACUGUGAUGAUGCCCUGUUUGCGGAAAAUCAAGAUCAGAAACCUGAAAACACUUUGCGGGAGUCACACUCUCUACGCAAAGUAUAUAUACAUUAAAGAACUGGCAAGGACCUCCAGGACAGUGUUGAAUAGAAGUGUCAAAAGAGGCAUCUCCCUCACUGCCAGGCUCAGAGGGAAAGUUUUCAGUAUUCCGUAUUAUCUGCGAUAUUGGGUGAAUACUGCUCUUUUCCUUUGUAGAUACCUUUUAUCAGAUUAUGGACAUUCCCUUUUAUUUCUAAUUUGCCAAGAAUUUUUAAAUUAUAAAUGUUUGCUAAAUUUGAUUGCAUUCCUUUUAUUGCACAUUUGAGAUGAUGCUGUGGCUUUUUCCUUUAUUCUACUAAUAGGUUGAAUUAUAUUCAUUGAUUUUCAAAUGUUAAACCAGCCUUGCCUUCCUGGUGUACAUCUAAUUUGGUUGCCAUGUACUUUCUUUUUCUAUGUUGUUACAUUCAGGUUCUUUUUUGGUGUCUAUGUUUUAAAGAGACAUUGACCUGUAAUUUUUCUUUUUGUAAUAUUCUCACCAGAUGUUUAGUGUAAUGGCUGUGCUGGCCUUAUAAGCACACAUUAAGAAGUUUUCUUGGCUGGGCGCAGUGGCUCAUGCCUGUAAUCCCAGCAUUUUGGGAGGUGGGCAGAUCACCUGAGGUCAGGAGUUUGAGACCAGCCUGGCCAACAUGGUGAAACCCCGUCUCUACUAAAAAUACAAAAAAAUUAGGUGGGUAUGGCGGGCGCCUGUAAUUUCAACUACUUGGGAGGCUGAGGCAGGAGAAUGGCUUGAACUUGGGAGGUGGAGGUUUCAGUAAGCCGAGAUCAUGCCAUUGCACUCCAGCCUGGGCAACAACAGCAAAACUUCAUCACAGCAAAACUCCAUCUCAACAACAACAAAACAACAACAACAACAAGAAAAAAGGAGUUUUCUCUCUUCUUCUGUUCCUGGAAGAGUUUUAUUGUAAGUUUAGUGUUGUUUCUUUUUUAAAUGUUUGGUAGAAUUCAUUAAAAAAGCCAUCAAGGCCUGGAGCUUUCUCUGUGCUGAGUUGAAAUUACAAAGUCAGUUUAUUUAACAAUGUACUAUAUAAGCCAGAAAUUAUUGUCGAUAUCUGUCAUAGACAAAAAGAUUGCCCUAUGUGUACUGUGAAUUAUGCAGGGAUAUUAAUUGCUGUGUAUUUUUUUGAACAGUGAAAAAUUGGAAACAACCUAAGUAUUUACGACAAGGAACAACCCCAGCAUAUUUUUUAUUAAAUAAAGUAAUUUUCAGAGCAAUGUGUUUAGUCUGAAUGUAUUGAAAACACGUAGCACCGAGCCCCAGCACGGUGCUGUUUAUUUUCUAAUCCUGUUGGUUUCUGUGUGUGAGUGUGGAG